rnacentral:tRNA from 1 species
GCGCCUGUAGCUCAGCAGGAUAGAGCGAUCGCCUCCUAAGCGGUAGGCCCCGGGUUCGAAUCCCGGCAGGCGCGCCA